GCGCCUGUGGCCCAAUGGAUAAGGCGCCUGCCUACGGAGCAGGAGAUUCCGGGUUCGACUCCCGGCAGGUGUU
rnacentral:tRNA from 1 species